rnacentral:lncRNA from 1 species
UUUUCGCAAAUAUUGUGAAGUCCGAGAGCGAGAUGGGCCUGACUGGGCUGGCCCAGUCUUUUCCGCGCGUGCCCUUCGCAGCGCAGCUCAAUCCCGGUCAAAUCAACAAUCCCGGUUUGUAAACGAAUCCAGGUUUUUUUUUAAACCGGGAUUACAUAAUUAAGGGUGUAAUCGAUAAGGAUUUCGAGUUGAAGUUUUAUUUCGCCGAACCUCUACAAAUUCAGGAUUUAAAAUGAUUUUUUCUCAAAAAAUGCAAAGUAAUCGCUUAUUGUACCUUCCGCGGCGUACCCUACUAGUGACCGAUGCAGACAUCCGGUGGACGCGUCCCUAUGAAGCUCUGGCGUGGCCAUAUACGGCUUCGGCUGCCCAACGGUGGUUAGUCCGAUGGCGGGCGAACUCGGCAAGGGACUAGCCCAAUGCAUGAAUGACUAGGCACUUCUCCGGUUCCUCGGUGACCUCUUGGACGUAGUCUUUCAGAACGAGCUGCUAGAAGGACUGGUUCACGGCCGCCAGUAGGUCCUCCUGGAACACCGUUGGACCUCUAGAUGUGUUCUAAGUAUCGCACCGUUGGAGUAAUUGAUUUUACACAAAGAUUUGUGAGGGUAUCUUCUUAUUUUCUUUUUCAUAUUUGAUUAAGUAGUCACUUAGAAGUGCUAUAACCAGGCCAUCCUAGACAUGCCUAUAUACUAAAGAGAAAAGACAAACACAACAAUAGAUUGACAAAGAUAAUUCAUUAUCUGUUUCUUCAAAGAGGAUGCUACAUGUUUAUAUUAGGCCCGUAAUAACUACAUCAACAUCAAGAGCAAGCACAUUUAUUCCACACUGUUAUGUUUGUAUCAUUUCAACUACGUCCUAAGGCCUCAUGGACCCAUCUCUAUGUAAUGGUUCACAGCAACAGUAAUACUUCUGGUCAUCUCCUAUGUAGCAAACGCCAUAGCAUUUUUUAUAACAAUCUUUAUCACAGUUUUCCGACGGAAACGGGUCGCCGCAUCCUGAGAAUCAUUUGCACCGGUAUGGGUUAAUUGCAAGAAAAUUCAUCAAGUAACUUGACAUAUCCAGAAAUAGUGACACGGUAAUACUAAUAUCCUCCGAUAAUCACAAAAUGCGCAACGUAAAACUGGAUUUUGCUGAUUAGAAAUAAUAUCAUUGAUGAACAAAAACGAACCAUGACCGGGGUAGGGGUAAUGAGAAUCGGCGCGUAAGGAGAGAACGGUGGCCAUGAGCACUAGUGCUGUGAGGCACAUGGCCCUAGAAAUCUUGGUGAGGAUUGCCAUGAGGUGAUGCUGGAGCUUCUUGCUGAUCUGGAUCUAGAUGGUGUUGCUGCAAUGUUUACUCUUGAGCCUUGAUGGUAUGAGUUUAUAAAGAGGAUCCAUGAUUGAAUGCAUUAAUUGUUUUCCUUAUAUUAUAUGCUAAAAUUAUUAAAUGCAUUAACUUUUGUAGAUCAAUACCGCAUAUAGUAGUAUGUGGAUAACUCUUGCUAACCAAGCUUUGACCAAAACAUGAAUUACUUUCCAUAAUAUCAUGCAUAAAAAUGGGUACCU